rnacentral:rRNA from 1 species
AACGCGAAGAACCUUACCUGGGUUUGACAUGCACAGGACGCCGGCAGAGAUGUCGGUUCCCUUGUGGCCUGUGUGCAGGUGGUGCAUGGCUGUCGUCAGCUCGUGUCGUGAGAUGUUGGGUUAAGUCCCGCAACGAGCGCAACCCUUGUCUCAUGUUGCCAGCACGUAAUGGUGGGGACUCGUGAGAGACUGCCGGGGUCAACUCGGAGGAAGGUGGGGAUGACGUCAAGUCAUCAUGCCCCUUAUGUCCAGGGCUUCACACAUGCUACAAUGGCCGGUACAAAGGGCUGCGAUGCCGCAAGGUUAAGCGAAUCCUUUUAAAGCCGGCCUCAGUUCGGAUUGCAGGCUGCAACUCGCCUGCAUGAAGUUGGAAUCACUAGUAACCGCAGAUCAGCUACGCUGUGGUGAAUACGUUCCCGGGCCUUGUACACACCGCGCAUA